rnacentral:tRNA from 1 species
GGGCCCAUAGCUCAGUUGGCAGAGCGCCGCUAUGGCAUGGCGGAGGCCGAGGGUUCAAAUCCCUCUGGGUCCA